CCCAAUGAACGAAUCAUCAUCGCUCGUCUUUCUCGGCGAAUCGGACGCGAUGAGACUCUCCGAUCGCGGAACCUAAUUCCGUCGAAAGUUCCUUCGAUCGGCAGAGAAUGAGCUCCAGGGCCCGUAAUCUCACCUUCAAGCUCGUUCUCCUCGGUGACGGAUACUGCUGGACAGGAACAUUUCCAUGCCUUGGGCCCUAUAUACUAUUGUGAUGCAGAUGGCAUGUAUCUUAUAAACACAACAGUGCUUUUAGACUAUGACGUCACAGAUACUGAUACUUUUCUUCGAGUUAGAAAGUGGGUUAAGGAACUUCAGCAGAUGGCAUCAAACAAUAUAGUCAUGGUCAUUGCAGCAAAUAAAAGCGAUUUAAUCAGAUCAAAGAAGUAUGAUAUUCAAGAAGCUGAAAGGAUUGUUGCAGAAGAAAAAAAACAGUGCCCAGGGCUCAUCACCUGCUCAACCAAGAAAAGGGAUUAUUGUUGUAGAUGAUGAACCAGAGAGAGAACCCCCACCAAAGUGUUGCUCAUAGCAUUGAUGUUCCAGAUUUUUACAAGUAACCACAGGAGCAGUAGUAGUGUGAAUAUUGGCGUCUGCUAUGUCGAGGGUGAUCCAACAGUAGGAAAUCUAGGCCUCGUGUAUCUUCACUAACCUGGACAGAUUACCAGAAAUUAUUCGCAUCAACAGUAUUAUCUGCUGUGUGUCCCUCGAGAAAUGUUGUGUUAUUUGGUGUCUACAUCUCCAAGGUGAAGUCAGCUUCAACUGUUCUAAACUUCCGUCCUCUCCAUCGGCCCAUUUAGUUCAACAAGAAUAGAUGUCUUUAGCUGAUAUAUGUUUUAUAAGACGUACAUUACCAUUACUUUAAUGCUAAAUCCAAUUAUUCCUUUGUUUUGAUCUUUAAGCAGUUAAAUAUGCACGGAAAGAUUGCACACCAUUAUGUGCCUCUGAAUGCUUUUGCUUUCUUGCAGAUUCACAGCCAUGUUUCUCAUGUAUCUUUAUAUGCUUUUGAUGACUCAGUUGUUGAUGGUAUUUUGUUGUUAUCGUAUUAAGAUGCAGCAGAAACAAAAAUAAAGCAACAAAACAGAAGUAUUAUUAGUAUUAUCAUUAUUUUUUUGGAUGCGGAAAGCGGUUUGGCUCGCUGCUUUCCACCACGUUAUAUUAUGUAGCAACGAGCUAAGGUGGUUGCGGUCCCUCUCUCCCUAUUCCUCUUCCAAGAAUCCUUCGAGUGAUUUGAUUGAUCUCCAAGAAAGCCUCCUCCCCAUCAAUGGCUUCCCUCUCCGGUCUCACGCUCAUCACUGAUAUCUUCCACUGCCUCGGGGAGCUACUCUCACAUGUCGGGGUCUCGUUUCUGAGCACGGCGAGCGGGUUUUCCCUCCGAUCUCGCAUGCUCCACGCGCCCCCAUCGGAGACCUUCUGUCGCGGCUGACGAGGAGGCGAAGAAAAUGCUAGCGAAGGAGAAGGGAAGACCUUCUUUGAGGGUCGGGGAUCAUCUGGCAUUGCAUCUCGCUGAAUCCAGCGCGAUCUGUUUCAUCAAUGGUCGAUUGUUGUUUCAUUGAGGGUUUUCUUGAUCGUAUACAGGUCGAUCGUACUUUCUCCGAGGGUUUUCUUGGUCUUACAGACUCUGAUCGAUCUUUCUUUAUGGCUUUUCUUGAUCUUAUAGAGGUUGGUCAUCCUUCCUUUCUGGGGUUUCUUGGAUCUUUACACUGGUUGAUUGUUCUCUCUUUGAGGCUUUCCGUGAUCUUAUCCAGGUCGAUUGUUCUUGCUUCGAGGGUUUUGUGUAUCAUUCGCAGGUGCUUUCCUUGUGGGUUUUCUUAAUCUUGUACAGGUCGAUCGUUUUUUCUUCGCAGGUUUCUUGAUCUUACAAGGAUGAUUUCAGAGUGUGUUGCGCCAUCUCCUUUUGCACAUUCUUUGCGUUCGGAUGGAACGUGCAGGGACGGCUCGGCUUCGGUAACAUGUAUGUUUAUACAUCACACCACUAGUUUUUGCUCCUCUGAUGUGGUCCAACAAUAACAACUCAUAGGAGACUUUGAUUUGAUCUAUAAGCGCUUGAUAAAUACAUUAGCUUUAACUGGCGUUUAAACAUUUUUGAUGAACCAACCUCGUAUUAGAUAAGUCCAAAUGGGGAAGGGCCUGUUCAUCACCUAGUUUAAUCUCAGAUAAACAGUUGGAGGAGACUUAAAUUAGUUCAUAUAUGAUUGAUGAAUGUUCUAUCAUUAACUUAAUUUAAUGUUCAAGCUAAUUAGAUUAUUGGAUUAUUAUCAUAUAUAUUGUGGGGAUAACCGGCAAGUUUAGACCAUGCAAACUCAUGCUGAUCAACGGAAGUUUAGACCAGAGUUCUGUAAGAUACAUCAUUCACACUAUUUGGGAACGGUAGCUGGUAAGAGCUCCUUUGCAACUUAAUUUUGGUAUUAUAUAUAUAGAAAAUCUGUGGCUUUGGAUAACGUGCUUUCCAAUUGUUGACAGGAUCUGCCUCCCAAUAGUUAGUGGAAUUCAAUGAAAUCAUGUGAACUAUUCCUUGUACCUUAACAAGUACCUGCAAAGAUUCUGGCAUUGGUUCCUGCAAGAAACGAUGUGCAUGGAUAGUUUUCUUUACAUUUCCAACUCCAUCAUCAGAUGGGCUUCCUCCUUUUCCGACCGUCUAUUUCGGCUGCGUCGGAGGAGAAGACAAUGGAACAAAUUACGUGUCAUGUCAUGGAGAAGACGUCUUCACAUCAUUACCAUAUUAAUGGGGAUGGAUACAGCGGGCAUUAAACCUCGUCGCUGCAUGCAUAUUAAUGAGAUGCAAACGUGGAAAGCACACAGAAUUGUGGUGGAUGCUGAUGAUGCACCAUCCAGAUUUUGAUGAGAGUUCUUUUACAGCAUCUGAUCAGGAUUGCGUUGUUCCCGUCGAGGAGGAGCCAAGUAAUAGGAACAGAUUCCAAUGAGUCGAGGCAAUUCCCCGCCUACCAGAGGUCCCCUUAGUCAAGAGACGCAGAAACGGCACGUCCUAUUGGCUGCAUUCUCGGUCGACGUGGAGAACGCGAUCUAACCAAUAAUCUUUCCUUCGUCCGACAUGACUCUGGUCUUCGUCUCCAGCCGUGGGGAAGGAUUCCUAAACAGUGACUGGUGGUAGAAUCCUAAGGAAUGCAGAGUUUCGGUGGGGCCCGUUGGACGUGGAUGCAUGCUUUCUUAGACCUGUCUCAAGAGGCUGCUACCGGAGCUGGCUAACAGCAACCGAGAAGGAGGAGAGAUACUGGAGGGGCCAGAGGCGAAGAACAACGCGGUGGUGCGAGAGUUGUAUGAGGCCAUAAACCGACGGGACGUCGCAAGAGUGCACCGGCUGCUGGCGCCGGACCUCGAGUGGUGGUUCCAUGGCCCGCCCGAGCGCCAGCACCUGAGGCGCCUGCUCACCGGCGAGGAAGAGGAGGGUGACAUCGUCACCUUCCAGCCCGGUCCCCAGGAGGUCGCCGCCUUCGGCUCCAUCGUGCUCGCCGAGGGCUGCGGCCCCGGCGCGGUGGUGUGGAUCCACGCCUGGACCGUCGGCCCCGGUGGGGUCAUCACCCAGGUCCGGGAGUACUUCAAUACCUCCCUCACCGUCACCCGACUCGGCGGCGACUCGGCCCCGGCACCCACCGACGGUUCCGCUGGGUCGACUCAGUGCUGCCUGCCCGUGUGGCAAAGCAGACUGCACCGGCGUGCCCCGAAGUCACUUCCUGGGCUUGUGCUCGCCAUAUGAAUGCAUAUGACCAGUUAAGCUCGACACGAACAAAUAGUUCGAGUCUGUUUGGUUUGCACCACUGUCGUUAUUGAGUCCAGGGUUUGGUCUGUAGGAGUCUCUUUGGGUGUGUCACAGUAGUAGGUUGUGUGGUCUUUUUGCAUGUCAUAGGGUGUGGUCUGUGUCUCUUCGUUGCGCGAUGGACAUUUGCUUGGUUGCUUAUCGAAUAAAAGAUGUGUUAGUGGUGAUUCAUAAGAA